GCUUACGGCCACACCGCCUGGUUCACGCCCGAUCUCGUUUGAUCUCGGAAGCUAAGAUAGGUUGGUCCUGGUUGUACUUGGAUGGGAGACCGCCUGGGAAUACCAGGUGCUGUGCUUU
rnacentral:rRNA from 1 species